UACGGAGGGGGCAAGCGUUGUUCGGAAUUAUUGGGCGUAAAGAGCUCGUAGGCGGUUUGUUGCGUCGGCUGUGAAAUCCCGAGGCUCAACCUCGGGUCUGCAGUCGAUACGAGCAAACUAGAGUGUUGCAGGGGAGACUGGAAUUCCUGGUGUAGCGGUGAAAUGCGCAGAUAUCAGGAGGAACACCGGUGGCGAAGGCGGGUCUCUGGGCCGAUACUGACGCUGAGGAGCGAAAGCGUGGGGAGCGAACAGG
rnacentral:rRNA from 1 species